AACGAACGUUAGCGGCGCGCUUAACACAUGCAAGUCGCACGAGAAAGGGCUUCGGCCCCGGUACAGUGGCGCACGGGUGAGUAACACGUGGGUAAUCUUCCCUCGAGCGGGGGAUAACAUUCCGAAAGGAGUGCUAAUACCGCAUAAGACCACGACCCCGAAAGGGGAUGAGGUCAAAGCCGGCCUCUAUAUAUAAGCUGGCACUUGAGGAUGAGCCCGCGGCCCAUCAGGUAGUUGGAGGGUAAUAGGCCUACCAAGCCUACGACGGGUAGCUGGUCUGAGAGGAUGAUCAGCCACACUGGAACUGAGACACGGUCCAGACUCCUACGGGAGGCAGCAGGUGGGGAAUCUUGCGCAAUGGACGAAAGUCUGACGCAGCGACGCCGCGGUGGGUGAUGAAGGCCGUUCGGUU
rnacentral:rRNA from 1 species